rnacentral:rRNA from 1 species
GGAUAACCUACCCUUAGGACCGGGAUAACCCUGGGAAACUGGGGAUAAUACUGGAUAGGCAAUUUUUCCUGUAAUGGUUUUUUGUUUAAAUGUUUUUUCGCCUAAGGAUGGGUCUGCGGCCGAUUAGGUAGUUGGUUAGGUAAUGGCUUACCAAGCCGUUGAUCGGUACGGGUUGUGAGAGCAAGAGCCCGGAGAUGGAACCUGAGACAAGGUUCCAGGCCCUACGGGGUGCAGCAGGCGCGAAACCUCCGCAAUGUGAGAAAUCGCGACGGGGGGAUCCCAAGUGCCAUUCUUAACGGGAUGGCUUUUCAUUAGUGUAAAGAGCUUUUGGAAUAAGGGCUGGGCAAGACCGGUGCCAGCCGCCGCGGUAACACCGGCAGCUCUAGUGGUAGCAGUUUUUAUUGGGCCUAAAGCGUCCGUAGCCGGUUUAAUAAGUCUCUGGUGAAAUCCUGUAGCUUAACUGU